UACGUAGGGGGGCAAGCGUUGUCCGGAUUUAUUGGGCGUAAAGAGCGUGUAGGCGGCUAGAUAGGUCCGUUGUGAAAACUCGAGGCUCAACCUCGAGACGUCGAUGGAAACCAUCUGGCUAGAGUCCGGAAGAGGAGAGUGGAAUUCCUGGUGUAGCGGUGAAAUGCGUAGAUAUCAGGAGGAACACCUGCGGUGUAGACGGCUUUCUGGACCAUUGUUGACGCUGAGACACGAAAGCGUGGGUAGCAAACAGG
rnacentral:rRNA from 1 species